rnacentral:rRNA from 1 species
UACGUAGGGUGCGAGCGUUGUCCGGAAUUAUUGGGCGUAAAGAGCGUGUAGGCGGUCCGGUAAGUCGGCUGUGAAAGUCCAGGGCUCAACCCUGGGAUGCCGGUCGAUACUGCCGGACUAGAGUUCGGAAGAGGCGAGUGGAAUUCCCGGUGUAGCGGUGAAAUGCGCAGAUAUCGGGAGGAACGCCUAUGGCGAAGGCAGCUCGCUGGGACGUUACUGACGCUGAGACGCGAAAGCGUGGGGAGCAAACAGG